UAGCUUUGUCCUAAGUCAAACUUCUCUAACUUUGACAGUUUUUAGAAAAAAUAUAUAUAUAUAUUAACAUCUACAAGUUCAAAUUAAUUACUGUUAAGGCAUAUUUCAUGCAAAAUUUAAUGAACUAAUUUGAUGCUGUAGAUGUUGGUACAUUUUUCUAUAAACUUGGUCAAAGUUAAAGAAGUUUGACUUAGGACAAAGUUAA
rnacentral:pre_miRNA from 1 species